UACGGGGGGGCGAGCGUUGCCCGGAAUUACUGGGCGUAAAGAGCUCGUAGGUGGUUUGUCGCGUCGGGAGUGAAAACACCGGGCUUAACUCGGUGCUUGCUUUCGAUACGGGCAGACUAGAGGCAUGCAGGGGAGAACGGAAUUCCUGGUGUAGCGGUGAAAUGACGCAGAGUAUCAGGAGGAACACCGGUGGCGAAGGCGGUUCUCUGGGCAUGUCCUGACGCUGAGGAGCGAAAGUGUGGGGAGGCGAACAGG
rnacentral:rRNA from 1 species